rnacentral:rRNA from 1 species
UGCGUAGGCGGUCUGGUAAGUCAGAGGUGAAAGUUUGCAGCUUAACUGUAAAAUUGCCUUUGAUACUGUCAGACUUGAAACAGGUUGAGGUUGGCGGAAUGUGGCAUGUAGCGGUGAAAUGCAUAGAUAUGCCAUAGAACACCAAUUGCGAAGGCAGCCAGCUGGGCCUUGUUUGACGCUGAGGCACGAAAGCGUGGGAGCGAACA